AUACGGAGGAUGCGAGCGUUAUCCGGAUUUAUUGGGUUUAAAGGGAGCGUAGGUGGGAUAUUAAGUCAGCUGUGAAAGUUUGGGGCUCAACCUUAAAAUUGCAGUUGAUACUGGUUUCCUUGAGUACAGUACAGGUGGGCGGAAUUCGUGGUGUAGCGGUGAAAUGCUUAGAUAUCACGAAGAACUCCGAUCGCGAAGGCAGCUCACCGGGCCGGAACUGACACUGAUGCUCGAAAGUGCGGGUAUCAAACAGGAUUAGAUACCCUGGUAGUCCGCACAGUAAACGAUGAAUACUCGCUGUUUGCGAUACACUGUAAGCGGCCAAGCGAAAGCGUUAAGUAUUCCACCUGGGGAGUACGCCGGCAACGGUGAAACUCAAAGGAAUUGACGGGG
rnacentral:rRNA from 1 species